CUUACAGCUGAGGGGCUACUUCCGGGGGACAGUAUCCAGACCUGAACAGUGUGGUCCUAUUAAUGUCUACUUGGAGUAAAGCCCCUUCUGGUUCAGUGAGACGUUCUUCCAGGGAAGUCGGAAGAUACUGCCUUUUAGCCUUCUGCGUUUGCCUGUGCACAGGAAAUGACAACAGGAAAACCAUGCAUAAAUUGGAAGGUAUGGCAAGGCAGCCACAGUAGCUCUUGAGGGUUAGGUAAGUCAAGUCUUAGUUUUGGUGCAUAGGGUCAUCUGGUCUGUUCAUACCUGCCCUGAGGCUUGUCCCAACCAUAGCAUCAGGGCCAGUCCUACUAUUAGGCAG